rnacentral:rRNA from 1 species
GAUGAACGCUGGCGGCGUGCCUAAUACAUGCAAGUCGAGCGAACAGACGAGGAGCUUGCUCCUCGGACGUUAGCGGCGGACGGGUGAGUAACGCGUGGAUAACCUACCUAUAAGACUGGGAUAACUUCGGGAAACCGGAGCUAAUACCGGAUAAUAUAUUGAACCGCAUGGUUCAAUAGUGAAAGACGGUUUUGCUGUCACUUAUAGAUGGAUCCGCGCCGAAUUAGUUAGUUGGUAAGUUAACGGCUUACCAAGGCAACGAUGCUUUGCCGACCGGUGUGGCUCAUCGGCCACUCCGGACCGGAGACACGGGCCAUAUUCCUACGGGAGGCACCAGUACGGAAUCUGCCGCCAUGGGCGAAAGGUUGGCCGACGUAGGCGGCCUCCGUCAUGAUCCUCUGCGGCGCGUACAACCUUGUUAUUCGGCAGGAACAAAUUUUUAAGUAACUGUGCACGUCUUGACGGUACCUAGUCAGAAAGCCACGGCUAACUACGUG